rnacentral:lncRNA from 1 species
GCUAGAUCUCCGAAAAGGGCGCUUGAGAGUUGGAAUAGCGCCAACCACGUUGGGCCUAUCUUCCUUUUGAUGAACUGUGGUUGUCGGUAUGUAUAGUUUCUAUAGUUUCUUGUUCCUUAUUUGUUGUUGUUUUCAUUGGGAAGAAAGGUUUUGAGAGUUUUACUAUAGGUUUCUCCAUUUGGGCCUUUGUAGUAUGAAUUUGUGUUGGUCCUUGGAAGGUCGACAUUUGUAUGUA